CACGUAGGGGCAAGCGUUGUCCGGAUUUAUUGGGCGUAAAGAGCUCGUAGGCGGUUCGGUAAGUUGGGUGUGAAACCUCCAGGCUCAACCUGGAGACGCCACCCGAUACUGCUGUGACUAGAGUCCGGUAGGGGAGCGUGGAAUUCCUGGUGUAGCGGUGAAAUGCGCAGAUAUCAGGAGGAACACCAGCGGCGAAGGCGGCGCUCUGGGCCGGAACUGACGCUGAGGAGCGAAAGCGUGGGUAGCAAACAGG
rnacentral:rRNA from 1 species